UACGUAGGCAGCGAGCGUUGUUCGGAGUUACUGGGCGUAAAGCGUGCGCAGGCGGCGCGUUAAGACAGGUGUGAAAGCCCCGAGCUUAACUUGGGAAUUGCGCUUGUGACUGGCGUGCUGGAGUGUGGCAGAGGGAGGUGGAAUUCCACGUGUAGCAGUGAAAUGCGUAGAGAUGUGGAGGAACACCGAUGGCGAAGGCAGCCUCCUGGGCCAGCACUGACGCUCAUGCACGAAAGCGUGGGGAGCAAACAGG
rnacentral:rRNA from 1 species